UGUCUCUAAAAGAAAAACGUUUGGUUUCUUAAAAGGCCGGCCUAAAUGGAAGGUCGUGUGGCCGUGGAGGAAUAAAAUAUUUAACUGCUAAGUAAAACAGAUGCAAAGUUCCUUUCAUCUUAAGGAAAAUAAAAUUGAGCCAAACAUAGACGGUAUAUCAUCCACCUGUGGAAAUGAUGUCGUUUUUCUUUGUCGGUGGCUUAAUUUUAAAAUUGGGGCGAAUCCUAUUUCUGCCAAGGACAGAAGUUAGCUCCCUUUUAUGUAUGCAUGCAUGGAUUAUUUUUGCCAUGAUUGAUUAUUUUUGUCAUGAUUAAAGUAUGAAUGAAAUGCAUGCAGGGAGUUAAACAUUAAAUCAUACCACUGAUUCAUAACGAAAGCUUAUACUCCCCACCCCAGCUCUCUCCGAUCUUUCUAGGCCCCUACCCACCCAAGCACGGCUGCUGUGACUGAGAAACGAGCACAUUGAGACCAGAGGCCAUUCCUAAUGAAGAUAAGAGCAGCGGUCAAUGCAGCCUCCAUAGUCCUGCCCACGCUGCCCAUCAAGAUAACGAGACCAAGAUAACGAGAGGGGGCAGCAUCGCUUUCAUCGGAGCUGCAUUCAUUUAGCGCUAAUCCCAGCCAUGAGCAGAGCGGUUCCCUUUCCGGACUUAACUGCCUGGACAGCGUCGCCACGCGUGGAGCUUGGAGAAAUCGAAUCCAGCGCGAGCCAGAUCCAGAGCCUCAGAGGGUGCUCUGCGUCCGAGGUACCUGGAAAGGGAGCUGAAUUGUGCAUCUCGAACGAGCCUCCAGGUGGUACUGAGGCCGCUGGCUCCCUGACCACAGUUUGAUGGUAAGGACUUAGGGACCUCUUCUCUGCAGGCCCUGCUCACUACUCGGGCUGCCCCGUUCUCCUGGGGUGCAGCACGACCAAGCUGCGCAACAAUCACUUCUAAGAAGUGGGCCUUUGUCAAGACAGUCACCCCCAAUUCUUCUCAGCCCCGAAGGGUAAAGGACUAGCGCUUGGGUGCAAUUUCUCUCAUUCCAGGACGGGCGCUUCUCCUGAAGACCAGCAGGGGGCGUACCAAAGGCGGGGGCUGAGGGGAGGAGCCCGCAGGAAGAGUCUGAGCUUCAGGGAAUGGAGGUCAAGAGCUGCUCUCAGCCCCAGCUGGUUUGGCUCAGUGG